rnacentral:rRNA from 1 species
GAUGAACGCUGGCGGCGUGCCUAAUACAUGCAAGUCGAGCGAACGGACGAGAAGCUUGCUUCUCUGAUGUUAGCGGCGGACGGGUGAGUAACACGUGGAUAACCUACCUAUAAGACUGGGAUAACUUCGGGAAACCGGAGCUAAUACCGGAUGAUAUUUUGAACCGCAUGGUUCAAAAGUGAAAGACGGUCUUGCUGUCACUUAUAGAUGGAUCCGCGCUGCAUUAGCUAGUUGGUAAGGUAACGGCUUACCAAGGCAACGAUGCAUAGCCGACCUGAGAGGGUGAUCGGCCACACUGGAACUGAGACACGGUCCAGACUCCUACGGGAGGCAGCAGUAGGGAAUCUUCCGCAAUGGGCGAAAGCCUGACGGAGCAACGCCGCGUGAGUGAUGAAGGUCUUCGGAUCGUAAAACUCCGUUAUUAGGGAAGAACAUAUGUGUAAGUAACUGUGCACAUCUUGACGGUACCUAAUCAGAAGGCCACGGCUAACUACGUG